UACGGGGGGGGCAAGCGUUGUUCGGAAUUACUGGGCGUAAAGGGCUCGUAGGCGGCCAACUAAGUCAGAUGUGAAAGCCCCGGGCUUAACCUGGGAAUGGCAUUUGAGACUGCAUAGCUAGGGUGCGGAAGAGGGAAGCGGAAUUUCCGGUGUAGCGGUGAAAUGCGUAGAUAUCGGAAGGAACACCAGUGGCGAAAGCGGCUUCCUGGUCCAGCACCGACGUUCAGGCACGAAAGCGUGGGGAGCAAACAGG
rnacentral:rRNA from 1 species